GAUGUGUGGAGGAGGAGGAGGAAAACGUGCGUUGCCCUUGGACAGGACUAGAGCAUCUCUUCGAGCCUCGCCCCUUCUUCGGCGUCUGCCUUACGUUCGGAAUUAGGAUUCGGUUGGACAGGCUCACACGUGUUGUUGUCGCCUUUUUUGGAUCGCACCCCAGACACUAGAUCACCCAGGGAACCGCGUAUUUCGAGGCCUUCGCGCCCCUGUCGUUGUCAUUUCAUGGAUUUGCUGUGCAUCAUCCAACGUUGCCUUGCGCCCAACGAUGGAUAGUGGAUAGUGGUCCUUGGUCUGGUCCGCUCCAAUCCGGUCCGGUCUCCCUCUGUCUCGCCUCUCAGUGUUUUUAAUUUACAUACAAUAUUUUUACCCAACUCUUUCGUCUCCAUUGGUUGUUGCCUCCGAAAUGUGGCGAUUAUAUCGCGUGUGUGUUUUUGUUUACCAUGUUUUGACUAGAAGGGCGAAAAAUCUUAAGCCCCGUCUAUAGCCCGCCCACCCACAUCAUUUGCAUGAACUUUCUUUUACCCAAUACAAUGUAAUAAUAUCCACAAAAAGCAAUUUUAGACCUGAGAUGCGAUUAACUUUGCGUUCUCUUUGAUUACCGAUCAACCUAUAAGCCAUAGUCUUAAAAUAUUUUUGAAAUAUAAUCCACCUUUACAAUUAAAAUAUAUAUAUACUAAACGAG